rnacentral:rRNA from 1 species
GACGUAGGAUGCAAGCGUUGUCCGGAUUUAUUGGGCGUAAAGAGCUCGUAGGCGGUUUGUCGCGUCUGCCGUGAAAGUCCGGGGCUCAACUCCGGAUCUGCGGUGGGUACGGGCAGACUAGAGUGAUGUAGGGGAGACUGGAAUUCCUGGAUGUAGCGGUGAAAUGCGCAGAUAUCAGGAGGAACACCGAUGGCGAAGGCAGGUCUCUGGGCAUUAACUGACGCUGGAGGAGCGAAAGCCAUGGGGAGCGAACAGG